rnacentral:rRNA from 1 species
AUGAUCACUACUGCAAGUGCAUGGGCUGUGACAACUGCUUCCCAAUCGUCCACCAGCACCCUUGCAGCAUCUGCUGUCGCCGCCGUCUGCUGCGUCGCACCAUCCGCGGUCGCUGCCACGCGCUGCAUCGUAGCACCCACGAGCGCCGCCGCGUGCCGUCGCUGCCGUCCAGUGUGUCGUAGCAUCCAUCACCGCCAUCAAGAGCUGCAUCCCAGCAUCCGACAUUGCCAAUGUGCCAGUGCUAUGAUGAAGCAUCGCCAGGUCCGCCGAUGUUGGGAUGUCGCAUCGUCGGUGCUGCGACACUACAAUGGAGCAUCACUGGUGUUGCGAUGA